rnacentral:rRNA from 1 species
GUUCCAGACUCCUACGGGAGGCAGCAGUGAGGAAUAUUGGUCAAUGGGCGGAAGCCUGAACCAGCCAAGUCGCGUGAGGGAAUAAGGCCCUACGGGUCGUAAACCUCUUUUGCCGGGGAGCAAGGGCGGGGACGUGUCCCGGCCCGGAGAGUACCCGGAGAAAAAGCAUCGGCUAACUCCGUGCCAGCAGCCGCGGUAAUACGGAGGAUGCGAGCGUUAUCCGGAUUUAUUGGGUUUAAAGGGUGCGUAGGCGGGCUUUUAAGUCAGCGGUAAAAAUUCGGGGCUCAACCCCGUCCGGCCGUUGAAACUGCGUUUCUUGAGUGGGCGAGAAGUACGCGGAAUGCGUGGUGUAGCGGUGAAAUGCAUAGAUAUCACGCAGAACUCCGAUUGCGAAGGCAGCGUACCGGCGCCCAACUGACGCUCAUGCACGAAAGCGUGGGUAUCGAACAGGAUUAGAUACCCUCGUA